GUAGGGAAUCUUCCGCAAUGGACGAAAGUCUGACGGAGCAACGCCGCGUGAGCGAUGAAGGCCUUCGGGUCGUAAAGCUCUGUUGUUAGGGAAGAACAAGUACGAGAGUAACUGCUCGUACCUUGACGGUACCUAACCAGAAAGCCCCGGCUAACUACGUGCCAGCAGCCGCGGUAAUACGUAGGGGGCAAGCGUUGUCCGGAAUUAUUGGGCGUAAAGGGCUCGUAGGCGGUUUCUUAAGUCUGAUGUGAAAGCCCACAGCUCAACUGUGGAGGGUCAUUGGAAACUGGGGAACUUGAGUGCAGAAGAGGAGAGUGGAAUUCCACGUGUAGCGGUGAAAUGCGUAGAUAUGUGGAGGAACACCAGUGGCGAAGGCGACUCUCUGGUCUGUAACUGACGCUGAGGAGCGAAAGCGUGGGGAGCAAACAGGAUUAGAUACCCCUGUAGUCC
rnacentral:rRNA from 1 species